GUGCCAGCAGCCGCGGUAAUACGUAGGAUGCAAGCGUUAUCCGGAAUUAUUGGGCGUAAAGCGUACGUAGGCGGUUUACCAAGUCUGGAGUUAAAGACCGAGGCUCAACCUCGGGAGUGCUCUGGAAACUGGUAGGCUGGAGGACGGCAGAGGAAAGUGGAAUUCCCAGUGUAGCGGUGAAAUGCGUAGAUAUUGGGAGGAACACCAGUGGCGAAAGCGACUUUCUGGGCCGUUCCUGACGCUGAGGUACGAAAGCCAGGGGAGCAAACGGGAUUAGAUACCCCCGUAGUCC
rnacentral:rRNA from 1 species